CUGCUACUGCUCAUAUGGGAAGGGACUGACAGAACAGAAUUUCCUAUUCACUGCAAGGUUGUCACUGAAAGGAAGAGUCACAGCUGCUGACUGGGAAGCACCCCUUCUUACCAAAGGACAGGUCACAACCUAACGACUAUGAAACUAUGAUUGGAUAUAUCUACAAUGCAGUUUUUCUUAUUCGUGGUAAUAUUUAGGGGUCUGUGGCUAGUUCAAAGUACCAGUGAAAAACAAGCUUGGGGUGAGUUGCGCAGAACUGCUACCUUGCCGUGUCCUUUUACCCCUGGGGAGGAGGAAGUGAUUCACUGGAGAGACAAAGACCAUCAAAUAGUGCACAGCUAUUAUAAAGGUAAAAAUCAGCUGGACAACCAGAGCAAGCAAUACUCAGGAAGAACCACAUUGUUCUUACAUGAAGUGAAAAAAGGGAAUGCUGCCCUCCAGCUAAGCGACCUGAAAAGUAGCGAUGAAAACACUUACUUCUGUUAUGUGAGUACAAAACUGGGCAGAACAGACGGUACGGUGACACUGCAGAUUGCAGACUUUGAUCACUCAAUAGACUAUAAAUGGAUUAACAAUGAGCUUUAUCUCAGCUGCAAUGUAAAUACUGUAUAUCCAGAUGAUACCUAUCGGAUAACAUGGUAUGUGGAUAAUGUCUGGACAAACUUCACCACCGAAAGCUUCCAUAUUGUUUCUAAUUCUUCUUUAUCACAUCAGUGCAUUAUCCAUCAUUCAAUAGUGGAAAGCACAUGGACAGGCAAUUGGACUAGGAGAGAAAGCAUUGACAAAAAGGAAGAUAAUCUCACAUGUAUAUGUCAAUGUUGUAAAACUUUGAACAUCGAUUUAUUGGCCAUGUAUUUAAAGAAAAAUAAACCAGAACAAGUCACAGUGGCAUAUACAACCAGUACAGGUGACAUUACUACAGCAAGAGACUAUGGGAACAGAGUACAUAUGCCAGAGGAACACAGUUUGUAUUUAAGCAAUCUCAGUAUGAAUGAUAAUGGGGAUUACACUUGUGUCAUCAAAACAUCUAAGCAAAUGGAUAUCGAGAUGAUCUCUAUCAACAUUACAGGAGAGGAAGGAAAGGAUGAAUUCAGAUCUCACUUGUAUCUAAGUGCCAUAAUUCCGGUGGUCCUUCUGGUAGUCCUAUAUCUUUACUGCAAAACAAAAUAAUUUAGGACAGGAAAAACUGAAAUGGAUAUUUGGAAUAAACAAAAGAAGAAAGGUAACUGUUCCGGAUGAACAUCUUUAAACUAAAGCUGGCUGCACAUCUUCAGAAUAUAGUUCAACCAUCCAACUAGUUGGCUGGUCGGAAUGAAAAUCUUUCAACAAUACAAGAAAGAAAGAACAUGAAAAUUCAUGGUGCACUCUUGAGAGCAAUGGAUUGUUGUGCUCUGUUAAUGUUCAGUAAACCAUUUAUCUUUUAUCAUAAAACAUAGGCCCUCAUUCCGAGUUGGUCGGUCGCAAGGCGAAUUUAGCAGAGUUGCUCACGCUAAGCCGCCGCCUACUGGGAGUGAAUCUUAGCUUCUUAAAAUUGCGACCGAUGUAUUCGCAAUAUUGCGAUUACUAACUACUUAGCAGUUUCAGAGUAGCUCCAGACUUACUCUGCCUGUGCGAUCAGUUCAGUGCUUGUCGUUCCUGGUUGACGUCACAAACACACCCAGCGUUCGCCCAGGCACUCCCACCGUUUCCCCGGCCACUCCUGCGUUUUUUCCGGAAACGGUAGCGUUUUCAGCCACACGCCCCUGAAACGCCGUGUUUCCGCCCAGUAACACCCAUUUCCUGUCAAUCACAUUACGUUCGCCGGAGCGAAGAAAAAGCCGUGAGUAAAAAUACUUUCUUCAUAGUAAAGUUACUUGGCGCAGUCGCAGUGCGAACUUUGCGCAUGCGUACUAAGCGGAUUUUCACUGCGAUGCGAUGAAAAAGAACGAGCGAACAACUCGGAAUGAGGGCCAUAACCUUUAUUUAUUCUAUAUUAUUAAAAGUUAAUAUGUCAUCUCAAUAUUAUUUAUCAAAAAUGGUAUGAAAAUAAAGUUAGCAAGAAUGUGCAGAAAAUAAAGAAUAAA